rnacentral:rRNA from 1 species
GGCGGCGUGCCUAAUACAUGCAAGUCGAGCGGACAGAUGGGAGCUUGCUCCCUGAUGUUAGCGGCGGACGGGUGAGUAACACGUGGGUAACCUGCCUGUAAGACUGGGAUAACUCCGGGAAACCGGGGCUAAUACCGGAUGGUUGUUUGAACCGCAUGGUUCAGACAUAAAAGGUGGCUUCGGCUACCACUUACAGAUGGACCCGCGGCGCAUUAGCUAGUUGGUGAGGUAACGGCUCACCAAGGCGACGAUGCGUAGCCGACCUGAGAGGGUGAUCGGCCACACUGGGACUGAGACACGGCCCAGRCUCCUACGGGAGGCAGCAGUAGGGAAUCUUCCGCRAUGGACGAAAGUCUGACGGAGCAACGCCGCGUGAGUGAUGAAGGUUUUCGGAUCGUAAAGCUCUGUUGUUAGGGAAGAACAAGYGCCGUUCAAAAUAGGGCGGCACCUUGACGGUACCUAACCAGAAAGCCACGGCUAACUACGYGCCAGCAGCCGCGGUAAUACGUAGGYGGCAAGCGUUGUCCGGAAUYAUUGGGCGUAAAGGGCUCGCAGGCGGUUUCUUAAGYCUGAUGUGAAAGCCCCCGGCUCAACCGGGGAGGGUCAUUGGAAACUGGGGAACUUGAGUGCAGAAGAGGAGAGUGGAAUUCCACGUGUAGCGGUGAAAUGCGUAGAGAUGUGGAGGAACACCAGUGGCGAAGGCGACUCUCUGGUCUGUAACUGACGCUGAGGAGCGAAAGCGUGGGGAGCGAACAGGAUUAGAUACCCUGGUAGUCCACGCCGUAAACGAUGRARUGCUAAGUGUUAGGGGGUUUCCGCCCCUUAGUGCUGCAGCUAACGCAUUAAGCACUCCGCCUGGGGAGUACGGUCGCAAGACUGAAACUCAAAGGAAUUGACGGGGGCCCGCACAAGCGGUGGAGCAUGUGGUUUAAUUCGAAGCAACGCGAAGAACCUUACCAGGUCUUGACAUCCUCUGACAAUCCUAGAGAUAGGACGUCCCCUUCGGGGGCAGAGUGACAGGUGGUGCAUGGUUGUCGUCAGCUCGUGUCGUGAGAUGUUGGGUUAAGUCCCGCAACGAGCGCAACCCUUGAUCUUAGUUGCCAGCAUUCAGUUGGGCACUCUAAGGUGACUGCCGGUGACAAACCGGAGGAAGGUGGGGAUGACGUCAAAUCAUCAUGCCCCUUAUGACCUGGGCUACACACGUGCUACAAUGGACAGAACAAAGGGCAGCGARACCGCGAGGUUAAGCCAAUCCCACAAAUCUGUUCUCAGUUCGGAUCGCAGUCUGCAACUCGACUGCGUGAAGCUGGAAUCGCUAGUAAUCGCGGAUCAGCAUGCCGCGGUGAAUACGUUCCCGGGCCUUGUACACACCGCCCGUCACACCACGAGAGUUUGUAACACCCGAAGUCGGUGAGGUAACCUUUWAGGAGCCAGCCGCCGAARGUGGGACAGAUGAUUGGGGUGAAGUCGUAACAAG